AAAAAUAUUUCGCGAACUCUACAAGCAUGCAUUCCACAACUCACUGCACUUCUUUUUAACAUGAUGGAGUUGCAAAAAGUUACCACAGUUCUAUGGACAUGAUGGACAACUAAAGGAGAAUAGUUUCAUUUGUCAAAGGACAACUAAAGGAGAAUAAUUUCAUUUGUCAAAGGACAGGAGACUUUCCAUGCCCUAAGACUUUAAAAGCUGAAAUUGAAAAUAAGAUGCAGAGAACCAUUCAUGAAAUAUAUAUAUGAUACUGAUAUUUACAAUGUUCUCCAGAGCUAUAACUCCAGCCCUUAAGAUUACAUUACACUACUAUUGUUUGCUAAUUCUACCAUCAACAGCAGGAGAAGAGAGGAGAUUCAGCACUAUGAAUGAUCUUUGCAAUUUGCUGUGGAUGAUGACUAUAUCAAAUUUGGAUGCAUUGAUGAAAUUCAUAUAGCGAUGACAGUUAUUUCAUUGAACAAGAAAAAGCUGUAAAUACUU